UACGUAGGGGGCAAGCGUUGUCCGGAAUCAUUGGGCGUAAAGCGCGUGUAGGCGGCCAGGUAGGUCCGAUGUGAAAUCUGGAGGCUCAACCUCCAGCGGUCAUUGGAAACCAUCUGGCUAGAGUCCGGAAGAGGAGAGUGGAAUUCCUGGUGUAGCGGUGAAAUGCGCAGAUAUCAGGAAGAACACCAAUGGCGAAGGCAGCUCUCUGGGACGGUACUGACGCUGAGACGCGAAAGCGUGGGGAGCGAACAGG
rnacentral:rRNA from 1 species